GACGAACCGUACGAACGUUAUUCGGAAUCACUGGGCUUAAAGCGUGUGUAGGCGGAUUUGUAAGUACCUUGUGAAAUCCCACGGCUCAACCGUGGAACUGCUUGGUAUACUGCUUAUCUUGGGCCAUCUAGGGGCUACCGGAACAAGUGGUGGAGCGGUGAAAUGCGUAGAUAUCACUUGGAACGCCAAUGGUGAAAACAGGUAGCUGGGGGAUGUGCCGACGCUGAGACACGAAAGCCAGGGGAGCGAACGGG
rnacentral:rRNA from 1 species